UACAGAGGGGGCAAGCGUUGUCCGGACUGACUGGGCGUAAAGCGCGCGCAGGCGGUCGGGGGCGUCGGUGCUGAAAGGGCGCCGCUUAACGGCGCGAUGCGUGCCGAUACGCCCCGACUGGAGCGAUGGCGAGGGUGGUGGAAUUGCCGGUGUAGUGGUGAAAUGCGUAGAGAUCGGCAGGAACACCCGUGGCGCAAGCGGCCACCUAGCCGUCGGCUGACGCUGAGGCGCGACAGCGUGGGGAGCGAACCGG
rnacentral:rRNA from 1 species